rnacentral:rRNA from 1 species
GGCUCUCUGUUUCGCUUGCAUAGAGAGUCGAGCCUGCCCAGUGAGAAUUUUAACGGCCGCGGUACUCUGACCGUGCAAAGGUAGCAUAAUCAUUUGCCUUAUAAUUGAAGGCUAGUAUGAAUGGUUUGACGAAAGCAGAUCUGUCUCCUUUUUAUUAUCUAGAAUUUGACCUUUAGGUGAAGAGGCCUAAAUAUUAUUGAAGGACAAGAAGACCCUGUCGAGCUUAAAAGAAUACGUAGAAGUUAAUAUGUCUUUAAAUAAAUAACCUACCGAGCUUUUUAGUUGGGGCGACUAAGGAACAAAAAAAGCUUCUUAAUUAAAAAAGACUAACAAGUUAGGAUCCAACCAGUUUGAUCAAAGAAAUUAGUUACCGCAGGGAUAACAGCAUAAUCUCUCUUGAGAGACCUAAUCGAAAGGGGGGGUUGUGACCUCGAUGUUGGACUAGAAUAUCCUAAAGAUGCAGAAGUCUUUAAAGGUUGGUCUGUUCGACCAUAAAAAUUCU